UACGUAGGGGGCAAGCGUUGUCCGGAUUUAUUGGGCGUAAAGAGCGUGUAGGCGGUCUGGUAGGUCCGUUGUGAAAACUCGAGGCUCAACCUCGAGACGCCGAUGGAAACCAUCAGACUAGAGUCCGGAAGAGGAGAGUGGAAUUCCUGGUGUAGCGGUGAAAUGCGCAGAUAUCAGGAAGGAACACCCGUGGCUAAGGCGGCUCUCUAGUACGGUACUGACGCUGAGACGCGAAAGCGUGGGGAGCGAACAGG
rnacentral:rRNA from 1 species